AUUGAACGCUGGCGGCAGGCCUAACACAUGCAAGUCGAACGAGUGGCGGACGGGUGAGUAAUGUCUGGGAAACUGCCCGAUGGAGGGGGAUAACUACUGGAAACGGUAGCUAAUACCGCAUACCAUCGGAUGUGCCCAGAUGGGAUUAGCUCGUAGGUGGGGUAACGGCUCACCUAGGCGACGAUGCCUAGCUGGGCUGAGAGGAUGACCAGCAAAACUGGAACUGUGACACGGUCCAGACUCCUACGGGAGGCAGCGGUGGGGAAUAUUGCAAAAUGGGCGAAAGCCUGAUGCAGCCAUGCCGCGUGGAUGAAGAAGGCCUUCGGGUUGUAAAGUACUUUCAGCGAGGAGGCGUUACUCGCAGAAGAAGCAUCGGCUAACUCCGUGCCAGCAGCCGCGGUAAUUC
rnacentral:rRNA from 1 species